rnacentral:tRNA from 1 species
GGAGCGGUAUCGAAGUGGUUAUAACGGCCCUGACUCGAAAUCAGGUGUGCCCCUCAAAGGCACCGUGGGUUCGAAUCCCACCCGCUCCGCCA